CCCGCCCUCUCGCCCGCCGGCCGGCUCCUUAUUCGUCGCGCGUGCUGCUGGCUACCUGUACAGCUCCAUGCUCCGCCUACACCAGCUCCCUAAAUCCUCACAACGGUUCUGGACGAGAAGACAGAUACGACAUGGCAGUGGAUGAGAUGGCCAAGAGAGUAAGCAAGGAUUGACAAGUUACCAAAGGGACAAUCAGAAAGGAUAGAUCCUUAUCCAGACUUGGAAUUCUUACAUUACAGCCUACAUGUGUUUAAAAUUUUGGCAAAUAUUCCCAGAUUGAAAUCCAACACGGUCAUAUCAAUCUAUAUUCCUUGCAACAACAGGUCACCAAAGUACUGCUGCAUCUCUAGUUCCUGUUUCAGGCAGCAAAAGAAAAAGGUGGGGAGAGGAAACGGCAGCUUAGCAGGUAUCAAGUACCUAUUUACUAAGAAAAUACCACCUACAGUAGUAUCUAUUUUUAACUUGUUCUUUCACAGGCUGCAGAAUUUCCAUUCCUAUAUUCAAAUAAAACCAAGAGUAUUCAAAUAUUUUUUCACCUACACAAAUAUAAAACCUCUUUACAUUCUAAUAUUUAGAUUAAAAUCAUUCAGCAAUAUUGUACUCUUUAAAGAAAUGCACUGAUUUGGAAAACAAAAUGUCUUAAUAUUUCUAAGAUCUCUUUCCAAUGUGUGGUACCAGGUAAGAAUGAACUUACUCCUUCCCACUCUCCCAUUUCCCCACACUCUCAUGCAAUUCUGCUCUACUUCAUUCUGUUAUGGUAACUUCCCACCACUUACAACAGUUACAGAUAUUCUACAAAGAACAGAGACUUGUGUCAAAGCCAGGUAGGGUCCACAGGCACUAAUCAUUAGUAAAGAUUAAAAACUAAGAAGACUGGGGAUAGACGUAAAACAAAAUAGAGUUACCACACAAUUCUCCAGAUGGCAAUCAGCCACCAGAUAUUUAAGACACACAAUAGUCGGGCACUGUGAUGAGCAUUGGGCAUGUACUGAUGAACAAGGCAAUCUGCUUCUUCAUGACAGAAAUAGAUUACUGAUCAUGCCUGGCCAAUUUUUGUAUUCUUAGUAGAGAUGGGCAUUCAUCAUGUUUGCCAGGCUGGUCUUGAACUCCUGACCUCAGGUGAUCUGCCCACCUUGGCCUCUCAAAGUCCUGGGAUUACAGGUGUGAGCCACCAUGCCCGGCCUGGAAAAAUAUUUUUAAAAAGAAAAGGAGAAUACAGAUUACACCAGAGAAGAAUGCAACAUAAAGAUGAAGCAGAGAUUUGAUGAUGCUGUCCUCGAAUAUAAGGGUGAUGCAGGCACAAGCAAAGGAAUAUUGGCAGCCACCAGAAGCUGGAAGAGGAAAAGAAUGGAUACUCUCCCAGAGGAACCAGAUGGAGUGAGGCCCUGCUGACAAGUUAAUUUCAACUCAGUUAUAUUAAUUUUGGAUUUCUGACCUCCAGAACUAUGAAAGAAUAAAUUGCUGUUGUUUUAAGCCACAAAAUUUGUGAUAAUUUGUUACAGCAGCCAUAAGAAAUUAAUGAGGAUCUAAGUCUGUAUUUUAAAAAUGCAAUUGUUCCCAAUUCUAUGCCUAUUUUUUCUUCCCUAAUGGAAUGCUUCAUGAAUUUAUAUAGCAUCCUUGAGCAAGGCCAUGCUAAUAUUCUCCAUAACGUUCCAAUUUUAGUAUAUGUGCUGCCAAAGCAAGCAUUCUAUGUCUAUUCAAGCAGAAAGCAUUAAAUACGUUUCAGAGAAAGACUGGAUGAAAUUAAGUUGCUAUAUUUUUAAAAAUUAGUUAUUAGGAUGGUUUACCAAAUAGUAUGUAGAACAAUUUCUUGCACAUAGUAUGCACUCGAUAAAUUUUUUUAAAAAUAUAUGCUGGACUAAGUAACAAAACAAAGAUACUACAUGAAUGAGAAAUUAAUCUAAUAAUCUUCUCAUGGAAAACUAACCCAUCCACUAUUUGUUCACAAAACUAAAUGUUUAACAGUAACAUUUCCAUAGAGAAAACAAGGACUUGGCCAAUGUUACAAAGCAAUUCUCCUACUACCACUUAGUUUGGAAAACAUCAAUUUGUUUUAUUAUUUUAUUUCUUACUUUCUUAUUGUAUUAUUUACUCUAUUUUAUAUUUUUUAAGACAGGGUCUCACUCUGUUCCCCAGGCUGGAGUGCAGUGGCAUGACCACAGCUCACUCCUGCCUCUACCUCCUGAGCUCAAGCCAUCCUCCCACCUCAGCCUCUUGAGUAGCUGGAAACACAGACAUGUGCCACCACACCUAGCUAAUUUUUUUUUUAAUUUUUUUUAUUUGUAAAGAUGGGGUCUCCCUAUGUUACCCAGGCUGAUCUCAGGCUCAGGCCAUCCUCCUGCCUCAGCUUCCCACAGUGCUGGGAUUACAGGCAUGAGCCACCCUACCCAGUCUCUUUGCUGUUUUAAAAGAUAUUGGUAGGUGUGGGUAGGAAAAAAAAGAACAUAAAAGGCGAAACAGUAUAGAUUGUCACUAUUUUCAUUAGUAUCUUUGUUUUUAUAACUUGAAAUGUUAAUAACAUAUAAGCUAGAAAAAGAUUUUUCCCAAUUUUAGGCUCUCUGUCCAUACUAGACUAUUCAAGUUGAUUCCUUUAAACAUAAUUUAUUGCUCAAUCUCAGAUAUACUACAUGUAUCAAAACAUGCCAACUGAAACGUAUCUACAUGUAGAAAGUAAAAUAUAACAAAAUUACUCAUUAAGAUAGAGUUGCUCUCCAAGCACUAACAUUAACAAGGUUCUAGUAUUUUCCAGUGAUUUUUCAAAUGUUUAGGUAUUAAAGCACACAAGAGCCAAGCACGGUGUCUCAUGCCUGUAAUCCCAGCACUUUGGGAGACCAAGGUGGGAGGAUCACUGGAGCUCAGGAGUUCCAGACCAGCCUGAGCAACAUAGUGGAACUCUCUCUGUCUUUACAAAAGAUUUUUUAAAAUUAGCUGGAUGUGGUGGAGCGUGCCUAUAUUCCCAACUGCUCGAGAAGCUGAGGCUGUAGGAUUGCUUGAGCCUGAGAGGUCAAGGCUGCAGUGACCUGUAAUCACACCACAGCACUCCUUCUUGUGUGACAGACUGAGGCCCUGUCUUAAAUAAAUAAAGAAUAGAAGGGUAAUCGCAGCCUGAGGAUAAACCUGAAAGGUGAGGGGCCUUAAAAUAGUUUUCUCUGUAGCAUUCAUGAAUGAUUAAAAAAAACAAUAAUGUGAAAAUAAUUUAACUAAAACAGCAUGUGGAAUGAGCAGGUUUUUAUAGAUUAUGGUCUGACAAACUGUCAAACAUUCUUUUCUUUCCCCCCAACUUUUACUUUAGAUUGAAGGUAAGGGGUUAGGUAUGCACGUUUGUCACAUGGGUAAAUUGUGUGUCCUGGGGGUUUGGUGUGUAGAUAGUUUUGUCACCCAGGUAAUCAGCAUAAUACCCAAUAGGUAAUUUUUCAAUCCUUACCCUCCUCCAACCCUGCACCCUCAAAUAGACCUCAGUGUCUACUGUGUCCCCUUCUUUGUGUCCAUAUGCACUCAAAGUUUUGUUCCCACUUAUAACUGUGAACAUGCAGCAUUUGGUUUUCUGUUCCUACAUUAAUUUGUUUAGAAUAAUGGCCUUCAGUUCCAACCAUGCUGCAGCAAAGACCAUGGCUCAUUUGUUUUAUAGCUGCACAAUAUUUCAGGAUAUAUAUGUACCAUAUUUUUAUGUCCAGUUCACCACUUAGGGACAUCCAGAUUCGUUCUAUGUCUUUGCUAUUGUGAAUAGUGCUGUGAUGAACUUACAGUUCAUGUGCCUUUAUGGUAGAAUAAUUUAUCUUCUUUUGCUGUCAAAGAUUUUUAAACUUUAAAAAAUCCCAGCUGCUGAUUCUGUUUGGAUAAUCAAUGUUAGAUUACCACCUUCCCUUGAGAACAAGGUUCCAAUAUUUGAAUACAAAUGCUGUGUAGUUUUGUUUUUUUAACCAACACCUUUUCUAAACAUGAAACUGCAACCACUUCCAGGUAAACCUAUAGUCUCAGAAAUUUAUACAUACUAUAAGCUUAAGCUACAGAGAAUAUAAGCAUAUAUUAAUUAUAUUUUUUUUGAGAUGGAGUUUUGCUCUUGUCACCCAAGCUGGAGUGCAAUGGCGCAAUCUCGGCUCACCGUAACCUCUGCCUCCUGUGUUCAGGCAAUUCUCCUGCCUCGGCUUUCUGAGUAGCUGGGAUUACAGGCACCCGCCACCACGCCCAGCUAAUUUUUCAUAUUUUUAGUAGAGAUGGGUUUUCACCACGUUGACCAGGAUGUUCUCGAUCUCUUGACCUCGUGACCCACCCGCCUCGGCCUCCCAAAGUGCUGGAAUUACAGGCUUGAGCCACCGUGCCCGGCCCAAUUAUGUUUUUUCUACAUUUACUGUUCAAGUCUCAUGUCACUCUGCCUAAGUGAAGAGGGCAAGCUUCAGACACUCUCAACUCUAAUCUAGCCUCCAAAUAGUAGAUGUCUUAAUAAAACUUAGGUAUGAUCAUAUCCCUUCUGUUUUUGGUUUUUUGGGGUUGUUUGGUUUUAGUUGUUUGUUUUUGAGCCAGAGUUUCACUCUUGUUUACCCAGGCUGGAGUGCAAUGGCGCGAUCUCAGCUCACCGCAACCUCUGCCUCCUGGGUUCAGGCAAUUCUCCUGCCUCAGCCUCCAGAGUAGCUGGGAUUACAGGCACGCGCCACCGUGCCCAGCUAAUUUUUUGUAUUUGUAGUAUAGGCGGGGUUUUACCAUGUUGACCAGGAUGGUCUCGAUCUCUUGACCUUGUGAUCCACCCGCCUCGGCCUCCCAAAGUGCUGGGAUUACAGGCGUGAGCCACCGCGCCCGGCCAGUUUUUUGGUUUUUUUUGAGACUGAGUCUGACUGUCACCCAGGCUGGAGUGCAGUGCUGUCAUCACGGCUCACUGUAGACUUCCUGAGUGAGCCUCGACCUGCUGGGCUCAAUCCUUCUGCCUCAGCCUCCCAAGUAGCUGAACCUACGAGUGCAUGCUACCACAACAAACUAAUGUUUUUAUUUUUUGUAGAUCCAGGGUCUUGCUUCAUUGCCCAUGCUGGUCUCAAACUCCUGCCCACAAGUGAUCCUCUUACCCAGGCCUCCCAAAGUGAUGGGAUUACAGGCAUGAAUCACUGUGCCUUGCCCUGUUUGUAAAGUUUAAUUGACUUCUUACAAAAUAGAGGAUAGAAUCCAAACUCCUUCUCAUAAAACAGCCCUCAUAAUCUGGUCCCAACCUACAUUUCCUGCCAUAAACUGUUUUAUUUUAUUUUAUUUAUUUAUUUUAUUACCUGUCUCAAUGUUGUUCUUUCACGCAUUCACUAAACAAAUAUUCCUCCUUUUAAACAGCCCUUCUCCCUUCUCUAUUUGUAGAACCUCUAUAUAUCUUAAAGGACUCAAAAUACAAGUCUCACAGAAGUUUCAUAUGUCUUCCAAGCAGACUGAAUCUUUCCCUCUACUAUACUCUCAUGCCAUUUUGCAUGUACCUUUUAUGAUAGCACUCAUAGAUUGUAUUAUUUAUUUUUUUAUUUUUUUUGAGAUGGAGUCUCGCUCUGUGGCCCAGGCUGGAGUGCAGUGGCAUGAUCUUGGCUUACUGCAACCUCUGCCUUCUGGGUUUAAGCAAUUCUCCUGCCUCAGUCUCCUGAGUAGCUGGGAUUAUAGGCAUAUGCCACCAUGCCCGACUAAUUUUUGUAUUUUUAGUAGAGACAGGUUUCACCAUGUCGGUCAGGCUGGUCUUGAACUCCUGAUGUGUUGAUCCACCCACCUUGGCCUCUCAAAGUGCUAAGAUUACAGCCAUAAACCACUGCGCCCAGCCUGCACUCAUAAAUUUUAUCAGACUAAUUUGUUGACAAAUGAUAUAUGUUUUCUUCUUUUAUUGACUGUAUUUCCUGCUUCUUCAUAUCAGUAUCUGUCAUAUACUAAGCAUUUACUCUGUUAAACGUAUAAAAUAAUAAAUAAACUCCACAAUAUUUAUUGUGGGAGAGUGAUUUCUUCAUAACUCUCCCUGUGUAGCAACAUAAAAGACAAAUGCUGGGGCUGGGCUUAGUGGCUCAGGCCUGCAAUCCUAGCACUUUGGGAGGCAAAGGUGGGCGGAUCACUUGAGCCCAGAAAUCUGAGACCAGCCUGGGCAACAUGGUGAAAGCUGUCUCUACAAAACAUACAAAAAUUACCCAGGCGUGGUGACGCAUGCCUGUAGUCCCAGCUACUCGGGAGGUAGGAGGUGGGAGGAUCACUUGAGCCAGGGAGGUAGAGAUUGUAGUGAGUGAGACCCUGUUUCAAUGUAAAAAAAAAAAAAAAAAAAAAAAAAGAUAAAUGCAGGUCAAAAAUGGUUUACAUUAAAUGUUUUCUAAUAACUGCAAUAACUAGACUUCAUGAGAGAAGUAAAAAUAAUAAAAGAAUCCUGAAAACCUACAGCAUGUCAGGCAUUGUGCUAGGUGAUUUUCAGGUAUUAUCUCGUUUAACCUGUAAAAUGAGGUAUUCAUUUUACAGAUUAAGAAACACAAGUUCUGAGAUAUUAAGUAUAUGGCUUGUCUUGCGUAACAUGUCAGAGUUCAGACAUGAACAAAGAUUUAUCUCAGUCAAAACCCAUAGUCUUUGCAGUAAAGCCUAUGUUUAAGCAAGGCUAAGGACUGAUGACACCUGCAAUUUCAACACUUUCAGAGGCCAUAGCAGGAGGAUCACUUGAGACCAGUUCAAGACCAGCCAGGCCAACAUAACAAGACUUUGUCUCUACAAAAAAUUAUUUUAAAAACAGAAAACCAUGUCCAAGUAUUAGAGGGUCAGUCACCAUAGUACAUAAAAGUAUGCCUUUGGUCUCAGACAAUUCACAUUCUGUCUCUACAACUUAGUAGGUACAGCAAAUUACUUAAUCACUCUGUCCCUCCUUUCCCUUAUCUAUAACAUGGUGAUAAUUAAUAGUAUGUAUUUUAUAGAGUGGUUAUGAUUAAGGAAUACAAGUCAAAUAAAGUGAUUACUAUACUACAAUGCCUUAUUGUAGUAUAAUAAUGCCUUAUUCAUUGAAUACCUUUAUGAAACCUACUCAUGAUAGAAAACACUAUUAGAAAUGCUGUUUGAAAUUGGUUUUAUAGUGCAUGAGAAUUUAGAAAAAAAACUUUUUAUAUAACUUUUACAGAAAAAAACUAGGCUCUGAGUAGAUAUAAAGUCAUAUGUGGACACUUUGUAGAAUGAGCUUGUUUCUUAGUAUUUUAUCUGACAUGACCUCAAAGUUUCAGCUUCAAUUAAUCUAAUUUCUACUACUCUACCUGACCCACCACACCUUUUCAAUCAAACUUCUUAUCUCUAAGUACAGCAACUUAUCCUUUUUUUUUUUUUUUGAGACAGAGUCUCACUCUGUUGCCCAGGCUGGAGUACAAUGGCAUGAUCUCAGCUCACUGCAACCUCCACCUCCCAGGUUCAAGUGAUUCUCCUGCCUCAGUCUCUUGAGUAGCUGGGAUUACAGGUAUGUGCCACCACACCCAACAAAUUUUUGUUUUUUUAGUAGAGACAAUGUUUCACCAUGUUGGUCAGGCUGGUCUCGAACUCCUGACCUCGUGAUCCACUCGCCUCAGCCUUCCAAAGUGCUGGGACUACAAACAUGAGCCACCGCACCUGGCCCAGCAACAUAUCUUAAACUGGCUCGUUGGUUUCAUUUUAGAUGCUAUCUCCAAUACAGAUGAUAUACUAGAAAGAGCUCUGGACAGACAAUCUGGAUAGAGAAGCUAAAAAACAUUCUAGCUUCUAAAGUCAUUUUCACACUUACGUAUAAAACACUCAAAUUUAUAUAACAAGAUACAUUAAAGAAAAAAUAAUUUAAAAUAUAUAACCAGUUAUACUCCUUCAUUAAUAGAGGUAAUUAAGUUGAAUGUACUUAAGAAUACAUUGCUUUUGUGAGGAUUAAAAUCUAAUGUUAAGCUGCCAAUUCAUAUUCACCUGAACCUUAUUUAAUAAAGUCAUACCCAUGAACGACAUUAUUAAAUGUCAGUCUGAUGAUGUUCAAGCUAUUUCAGUUACCUAGGGAGGUCUAAACUUACACUAAAUUUCUGGCGCUGACAUACACACACCCGCAUACACACACAUCCAUAGUUGAUUAACAUCAAAUAGAAACUUCACUCUAUACUUUUCAGGAAGGGAAAAGCUCCCAAGUUAUACUUCAUGGCUAUUGAACAAGUUUAUGCUUUCAAAUAAGAUUCUUUCCAUUGAUUCUAUUACUUAUCCAAUCCCUCGUUCAACAUGUUGAGUUUCUACUGAGUAAAAGGCACAUUGCAGGACACAAAUUAUAUCAAUUUCAAAUAUAAUUGAGGCAGCCUAAGAAGUAUAUAUAGGACCUAGGGCAAAUUAUUUGGCCUGUCUGAACUUUGAUAUUCUUAUCUAUAAAAUUGCGGUGAUAAUAACUGUCCUAUCCCAACGAUUUAUUACUAGGAUCAAAUGAAGUACUACAACAUGGAACAGAAAAGAAUUUUCAAAUACUAGUAGGGUUCUAUAACAACUCAAGAGCUCAUCUUGUCUCCAGGAGCACAAUAAGAGACUGUUCCAUUAUGUGAUUAAUGUAACAAAUAUUUAAGAGUUUAAUAUAUCAUGAUGUGUUCACAUACUAAAGUGCUUUAAAAAUGUAGUAAGUACAGGCUAGGAGCAGUGGCUCACGACUGCAAUCCCAGUACUUCAGGAGGUGAGGUGGGUGGAUCACUUGAGGCCAGGAGUUCGAAAGCAAGCUGGUCCACAUAGCAAAACCCCGUCUCCACUAAAAAUACCAAAAUUAGCCUGGCGUGGUGGUACACACCUGUAGUCCCAGCUACUGGGGAGGCUGAAGCAGGAAAACCUCUUGAACCCAGGAGGCGGAGGUUGCAGUGAGCGGAGAUUGCGCCACUGCACUCCAGCCUGAGUGACAGAGCAACACUCCAUCUCAAAUAGAAAUUUAAAAAGUAAUAAAUACAAACGCUUUCCUUAGGUAGGGAUAAUAAAACUCUGAAAUAACCAUAGUACAAUUCAAAUUUAACAAGUAUUAUAAGAGUUAUAAAGCCUAGCACACAUGAAAGAAAGAAUGGACCGGGCGUGGUGGCCCAUGCCUGUAAUCUCAGCAUUUUGGGACGUAGAGGCAGGUGGAUCACUUGAGAUCAGGAGUUCAAGACUAGCCUGGUCAACAUGGUGAAAGCCCUUCUCAACUAAAAAUACAAAAAAUUUAGCUGGGCAUGGUGGUGGGCACCUGUAAUCCCCGCUACUUCAGAAGGCUGAGGCAGGAGAAUCGCUUGAACCUGGGACGUGAAGGUUGCAGUGAGCUGAGAUUGUGCCAUUGCACUCCAGUCUAGGUGACAAGAGCAAAGCUCUGUCUCAAAAAAAGAAAGAAAAGGAAAGGAAAAGAGAAUGAACUGGAUUCAUGGCAGAUUUCAGAAAGCUGCAUAAGAGGUGGCAUUUAAGGCAUUAAAGAACAAGUCAAAUUUCUACAAAGACAGUAAGGAAGGCCUUCUUUGUUUCUUCUUUGUAGGAAGAAAGGAUAAAAACAAAGACCAAGGCAGAUAGGCAUAUAGCAUGUUCAGAAAUUGGACGCCUAAUGAACAACUUCAGUUUGGCUAAAAAAUAGGAUAUGUGGAAUAAAGUAAUAUUUGUCUAAAAGAGUAAAAGAAUCCAGUUUCAAGCUUCUGCAAAAAGAAAAAAAGAAAGAAAAAAGAAUUAAAAGAUCAUAUCGAUUUUACUGGAGCCAUGGACAGACUCAAAUUUUGAAGGAAAAAUCUGAAGCCUCCCUAAGUAAUAUAAAGUUUGUUAAAUGCCUCCCUAAAUAAUUUAUUUUUAUUCUGAAGCCGGUCGAGAGUCACUGCGUAUUUCUGAGGAAAGAAUAACCAAAAAAAGAAGGCUUAAGAUCUUUGGCUUUAAAAGUAAUAUGGAGGCAAAUGAGGACAAGUCCAGUUUGGAAGUUAUUGCUAUAGUGCAAGUAAGAAGAGGAAAGACGAGCAUAUUUAGCACAGAGGUAGUGAGAAUGAAAAGGGGAAGAACUAAAUUUGAGAUGCUGAAGAGAGAAUCAACAGUUGGGAGGAAAGCUAGCAUCAGAAAUGGAAGUUUACAAGCCAUUCCCUUGAAACAGCUGAGUUUACCUGUGAAAGUGAGUAAGAACACCAAGUAAGAAACUGCACCAAACUUCGUCUUUAACUACCAAAGCCAAAUGUUGACUUCAAAAACAAAAAGACUUAAAUUUUCAAAUACUGCAUUUAAGAGAACAUAAUAACAGAUCCAGUCUUCUUCUAUAAAGCUACACACCCAGACGUCUGUUCUGAUGAGAAUCUCACCCCGCCUCAAAAGUCCUUGUGUUCUUACUCGCCUUACCAAGGGCAGCCUUUCCAUUUCUUUUAAGUUCCUGCGGCUUCUCGAACUCCAGGUGCUGGUCGGGUGGAUCCGUGCCUACCACAGGGCUCAACGCCGAGUGGCAGCUGAAGGGAUGCUCACUGAAGGAACACCCCCGACUGACCCCAGCCCGGCCCACAAGUCACUCGCUCCGCACGCCCCAGACGCUGAGGCACACACUGCCGUCUUCAUUCGCUUGACACACCCCUCUCCUUAGGCCUUUUUUCCUCCUCCACCCAGCACAUUCCGCACGUCAUCCCUCGGAGUUACGACGUGUCACCUCACCCACUCCCACCUCUACUUAGCUAGCACUGUGUUACAGGUCUUCGAUACCGUCCCCUUCACCCCUACAGAGUUCAUAUCUGCCCCCUCGCAUGCCUCCUCCUCUUUUACCUCUAACCUUCGGGAGCUGCCCAAGCCGCCCCGCUGCCGCGGGCCUCCCGGUUCCCGCCCCUCCCCAGGUGCGCUCAGGACUCACCUCCCGCGCAGCUCGGCCGGCUGAGCCCACCACCGGGGGCCGCGGUUCAGCUCCGCCGAGGGCCCCAGGCUGCCGAGCCCGCUGGGUCCAACGCGACCGCUGACCCGCAGCGCCGCCCGCUACCGUUGUCUUAGCCGUAGCCGCCGCCAGCUCUGUGCAGCCCAGGCGUUUCCGGGUUCCCGCGGUCCCGUCCCCCAAAUACUCCGGCUUCCGCCUCGACUCGGGCAAAUACCGUUCCCGGCUCGGCUAUGGCAGCCCCAGCUCGGCACUUUGUCAGCUAAGGCGACGCACCUGGGCUGCUCAGCUGUCAGCCCCCGGUUCCUGCUUCACCGUCGCAUGAACGCCUGGGGCACUGCUUUCUGCUAGACCCCUCCUGAGGGCGCGAGACAGAUGCAGUGACACUCGUCGCGGGCCUCUGCGGGACUGUCUGUCUGCAGCGGGUGCCAAGGUGUCCGCUGCGAAAGGAAGGGCAAAGUCCUUUGGGACAAAGAACGCUGAGAGGAACGGAAAGAUGGAUUUUGAAAGCAAACGAAUCUGCUCCUAAAAGCGACUGUCCCUGACCUGAAAACAAACCAGAUUAGCUAUGGCAAAGGCUGCCAACCAAUAAGUGGUCUGGAAAAAGACCUGUUCUUCCACUUCUCCCACCCUGCUGAGACCUUGAGACCGAUGGAAACCCAAAGCCGUACCACGACUGGGCCUAGUGCCAUCAACGGGGAGAGGAAAAAGAAAGCUGGGGCCAGAGGAUUUCAGAGUUUUGAGGGGCCAACCCCUUCCUGGCUGCAUGGAUCACACAGCAUUACCUUUAAAGGCCUUCCAAUAGCUAUGUUGGAAACCCUCUAACCAUUGCAGCCCAUUCAGGUGAUGAACAGGCUGAAAUCAGUACCCCAGGUUCAGCUGGAUUAUCUAAUAGGAGAACCGGAUUAUCUCUUUUUUGUUAACUCGGGGCUGCUACAAAUUAAGCCUAUGUUGCUUUAUAUUGCAAAGGAUUAAACUAUUUCCAAGAACGACAUGCUUAGAAAAAAAGUGAGAUGGUAGAAAAAUCAAUGUGUUAGAGUGGAAAACAGAGGCUGGCAGAUUGCUUGAGCCUAGGGCAUUGCAACCAGACUGAGCAACAUAUUGAGACCCCCAUCACUACAAAAAUAAAAAUUUAAACAUGUGCCAGCCGUGAUGGCACAUGCCUUUAGUUCUAGCUACUCAGGAGGGAGGCUUAAGUGGGACGAUUGCUUGAUCCCAGAAGUUCAAGGUACAUUAAGCCACGAUGAUGUUACUAUACUCCAGCCUGGAUGAUAGAGCAAGACGACCCUGUCUCAAAAAAAAAAAAAACAGUAGCCUAGUAGCCCUGCAAAACUGUCCUUGUAGGGCAUAUUUGCAUCUGUAGAGAAUCUGCGUUAAUGUAGCCAGGCUUUCUCUGAGGCCCUUCCUUGUCCAGAUCUAGGAAAGAUUAACUGAGAUUCUGACACCUUUAAAGGUAUGAAAGAAACUUCUACCAUCUAUUUGCUCUGAGGGCUGCUACCCACCUUUGCUAGUCAGGCCUCCACUUCUCUCCCUCUGGUAACUUGUUUUGCUGCUAUAACCUGAUUUACCACCAUAAUCUAUUUUUGGCCACGCUUGGAGGUCUAUUCUUUCUAAAGAUGGUAUAUACCCUUCUGCACUACAUGGGGGUUAAGGGUAAUCACUCUGUGAUUUCUCAUGCACACUAAUAAUUUCUAUGCCUUUUCUCUUUUUAUUUUACUUUUUUGAGAUAGGGUCUCAUUCUGUCAACAAAGAAGGAAUGCAGUGGCAUUCAAUCCUUUUCAUGGCUCACCGUAGCCUUGACCUCCAAGGCUUAAGUGAUCCUCCAGCCUCAGCCUCCUGAGUAGCUGGGACUAUAGGCAUAUGCCACCAUACCUUGCUAAUUUUUUUUUUACUUUUUUGUAGAUAUGGGUUCCCACUAUUUUGUGCAAGCUGGUCUCAAACUCCUGAGCUCCAGUGAUCUUCUUGCCUCAACCUCCCAGAGUAUUGGGAUUACAGCUGUGAGCCACUAUGCCCAGCCUGCCUCUUGUCUUAUGAAUCUAACUUUUGUCAGUUGAUUAUUCAGCCAACCUUCAGAGGGCAAAGGGGAAGCUACAGAAGCUCACCAAGGCAAGAAUGUCAGCUGAGCCUGAACUACAAGUCUGGACACCCAACAAUUCAAGUCAGUACCCAAGAGCCUCACUUUCUCACCCAGGCUACAGUGUGGCGGCACCACCUCAGCUCACUGCAACCUUCACCUUCCGGGUUCAAGUGAUUCUCAUGCCUCAGCCUCCCAAGUAUUUGGGAUUACAGUGAUUUAGGAAGCUGAAAUGGGAGAAUUGCUUGAGUCCAGCAGUUUGAGACCAGCCUGAGCAACAAAGCAAGACCCCAUCUCGACAAAAGAAUAAAAAAGUUUUUAAAAAGGGAUCCAAGAUGUCUGAAUAGAAACAGCUCUGGAGUGCAGUUCCCAGCGAGAACAAUGCAGAAGAGACAGAGUCUUGCUCUGUCGCCCAGGCUAGAGUGCAGUGGCGUGAUCCUGGCUCACUGCAACCUCCACCUCUGAGGUUCAAGCGAUUCUCCUGCCUCAGCCUCCCGAGUAACUGGGACUACAGGAGGCCCAUUGUCAUCAGAAAAAGUAUAUAGUUUCUAACAGAUUUAUACAUUGGAAGUGGAUUUUGCUCCUAAUUUCAACAUGGCUAAUGAAAUAAUCCACACAGUCUAAAAUUCUUCCUCCUCUCUGCCUCUACACAUCCUGCAAAAAGGCUGGAGGGCAGUGGUAUGACCAUAGUUUGCUGCAGCUUUGAACCUCUCAUGGGCUCAAGUGAUCCUCCUCCUGCCCUGACCUCCCAGAGCAUGAGAUUACAGAGAAGUUAAAAGUGAUAUACCUGGUUCAGCAAAGUUUCGAAGAGGAUCAUCUCCCAUUACCCAUCCAUUGUGGGCCAUCAGAAAACAAGCUUUAUUUGGGAGAUGAAUCAUAGAUUCUUCCAUGGAGAAGUCCA